rnacentral:rRNA from 1 species
CUACGAGUUUGAUCCUGGCUCAGAACGAACGCUGGCGGCAGGCCUAACACAUGCAAGUCGAGCGCCCCGCAAGGGGAGCGGCGGACGGGUGAGUAACGCGUGGGAACGUACCCUUUGCUACGGAAUAGCCUCGGGAAACUGGGAGUAAUACCGUAUGUGCCCUUCGGGGGAAAGAUUUAUCGGCAAAGGAUCGGCCCGCGUUGGAUUAGGUAGUUGGUGGGGUAAUGGCCUACCAAGCCGACGAUCCAUAGCUGGUUUGAGAGGAUGAUCAGCCACACUGGGACUGAGACACGGCCCAGACUCCUACGGGAGGCAGCAGUGGGGAAUCUUAGACAAUGGGCGCAGGCCUGAUCUAGCCAUGCCGCGUGAGCGAUGAAGGCCUUAGGGUUGUAAAGCUCUUUCAGUGGGGAAGAUAAUGACUGUACCCACAGAAGAAGCCCCGGCUAACUCCGUG